UACGUAGGGGGCUAGCGUUGUCCGGAAUCAUUGGGCGUAAAGAGCGUGUAGGCGGUUCGGUAAGUCCGCUGUGAAAGUCGGGGGCUCAACCCUCGAAUGCCGGUGGAUACUGUCGGGCUAGAGUGCGGAAGAGGCGAGUGGAAUUCCUGGUGUAGCGGUGAAAUGCGCAGAUAUCAGGAGGAACACCAAUUGCGAAGGCAGCUCGCUGGGACGUAACUGACGCUGGAGACGCGAAAGCGUGGGGAGCAAACAGG
rnacentral:rRNA from 1 species